rnacentral:tRNA from 1 species
GGUCGUGUGGCCCAAUGGCAAGGCGCUUGACUACGAAUCAAGAGAUUCCAGGUUCGAGUACGACUCUCCAAUUUCCUCCUGCCGCCCA